UAAAGAAGCUCCAAAAUAUCAUCCCAAAACCUCUCUCAAAGUUACCCUAGGGCUCAAGACAAAAUCCACAAGUCAGUAUGGUAAUUUCUCUCUUGGAAGAUAAAGAUCACCUAGUUAUUUCUCUACUUUAUUGUUUGGGGUAAAGAUGUUAUUUGAGUUUGAAGUAAAACUUAGUUGGACAAGUAUUCUUGCUGUCAAGGUAAGGUUUAACUUCUCCUAUAUGCAUUUAAGAUCAUCUAUAUAUAUCUAGUUGAUUAGAUAAAGAAAACUUGUGAAGUAGAUUGAACUUCAUAUUGAAGUAUUAUAGUUGUUGGACUAUUUUGGAGUUGAAUUCUUGAUGUUUUAUGGCUGAAAAUCAGUAGAAAUAACUUAAGAAUACUAUUGCUAUUGUUGUUGAUGUGUUUGGAAGAAGAGAAGGCUUGGAAAAGUGCAAAUUAGAACUUGGUUGUUGGGUGAGAUGGCGUGGAAUGUUUUGGUGAUGUAUUAUAAUGAAUAUGAGGUUAGAUAUUGAUAUAUAUGUUUGUUGACAUUCUGGAAAUUAUAGUCUUGUUAUUUGAUUUGAGAAAACUGAAAAGAAUAAGGGGAAGUGUUGUCCAACAUUUCGUAGACAGGCUAGUCGCUCAUUUGUGUUGAGUUCUUGCUUCCGUAAGCUUAACAAUGGUCCCUUAUGGUUUAUUGUAGAUUGAAAUACUAACAGGCUGAACCGACAUCGUGUGGUUAAGUAAACUACAAAGGUAUGUUAAAGCUAUCCCUUCUUUCCUCUUGGCAUGAUCCCAUAUAAUACAAACGAAACGAGAAAACACGCAACUUUCAUAAAUUAAUCUAUUCUUAGAAGUACUAGGUGUGCCUAUGUUCCUAAUUCUCCAUGUGUCCUAAUAUUAUAUCAUUUGUUCAUGGGACUCAGAAAAUACAUAAGUUGAUAAAGUUUAUUUCAUGAUAUUAAUAUUAUACCCUGUAAGUUUAACAACUUUGAUACCGUUAUAUAUAUAUAUAUAUAUAUAUAUAUUUGAUAUGGUAUUUUGAGUGAACAUUUUUGUAAAGAAAAAAAUAGUUUGAAAAAUAUGAUUUUAAAUAGUUAUAAAUAUUACUACUUUCGAAUAUGCUUUAAAUUAUACACAAAUAUAAUAUAGAAAGUUUAUGAGAUUUUUUGUUACAUCUCGCAUUUCGUAUGUAAAAUUUCGUUUUCAAGUUAACCGACAUAGACUCGGGGAUGAGAUCAUCUUGACGUUACUUACGCUAUUUAUAACAAGCGAUGAAUAAGUGUUAUGAAGGAUAAAGGGAUACACGGAUUAACGAAAACGGGUUUCAUUGGGAAUGACCAAUUUGGAAUAAAAUACGGGUCGAGCGAUAAUAUCAGAUAAUUAUAAAUUAGUACCAUGCAAGGUACCAUAUGAUUACUGUAGUGUAAUAUAUAAAAUACAUAUGAAGUAUUUUGAAAAUAAAUAGAAUUUUAAGUAAUUUGUGAUAAUUUUUAAAUUAUGCGGGUAAUAAAUUAAUUAUCGGGUAACGAAACAUUACCUGAUUAACUAAUAAGUGGAUAAAUUAAAAUCACCCCAAGGAGGAACGUGGCAUCCCCCAUUUAGCAUAAGGUGAGUCAUUUAUCGAAGCUUUACAUGUGUCAAAAGCUUAAUUUCAAAGUCUUAUCAAGACUUUGUUUUAAGCUUUAUGAAUCAAAAAGAGAGAUCAAAACAUGUCACUUAGGAUAAACAUAACCAUUUUACAUUCUGUUAAGUGAAAAGCAGAAGCAUUUUCAUGCUCACCAAGCGUCCAAGCCUCACUCCAAAAUUGUAUCAAUUCGUUACGUUGGCAUUUAAGCCAAACGUCGAUUCUUAAAUUCAAUUUUUGGAUCUAAGUUCAAUCCACGAAGGUUUCCAACGGGAUAAUUAUAUGGAGUUAUUCCUAAUCCAGAUAUGUUAAGGUCCUCUCUUCUUUCUUUUGGUAUGGUCCAAAUUAUACUGAAGAAACGAGCAAAUACAGAGUUUUCUAUAAAUUACUCUAUUCAUAAAAAUAUUAGGAGUGUCUAUAUUCUUGAUUCCCUAUGAGAAUUAUUCCCUAUGAAAAUAUUAGCAGUUAGAAAAGUUUAUCUGGAAGGAAUAUCGAGAUCAUUAUGUAUUUUGCAUGCAUUUCACUCAUUUAUACAUGUGCAUUGAUGUGCAUUGACUCAUGACCAGAUGGCAUUAUAUAUGCGUAUAUAUGUAAAUAUAUGUAUAUGAGAUAUUGAAAAAGGUUACGGUAUUAUAUACGCACCACCACCUAAUCAGCUGGUAUGUGAUAAUGAUGUUGCCCACAAUGGGUGAAAUAUGAUUCAAACGGCGUUAUAUAUGCGUAUAUAUGUAUGUAUAUGUAUAUAUGAUAUGGGAAGAGGUUAUGGCGUUAUAUACGCACCACCACCUGAUCAGCUGGUAUAUGUUGAUGUGUUGCCCAUAGUGGCCGAGACGAUAUGAUGGGAUGCCCUCAGUGGCUUGAUGAUAUUAUGUACACCCAUACCUAUGCAUGGCACGACAUUUAUACGCAUGUGCAUGAUAUUAUAAACGUUUCAAAAUUUACAGAGUUAUUCAGAUUAAAAGGUAUUUUUGUAUUCCAUGUUUCAUCUAUGUCUUUUAUUUACUUAUUUUCAUGCCUUACAUACUUAGCACAUUUUUCGUACUGACGCUCUAUUUCACGGGGCCUGCAUUUCAUGCCCGCAGGUGCAGGUAGGCAAGUUGACGGUCCCCCUUCUUAGGAUUCUUGACCAGCAAGAGUUGACGUGCUCUACUUGAUCCGGAGUUACUUUUUGUUUUGGUACGA
rnacentral:lncRNA from 1 species